rnacentral:lncRNA from 1 species
UGUGGUGUCUCUCUGAACCCCCUCGACCGUCCGAGCUUCUAGACUUCUCCGACAAUGAGCUUCUCCAUCCAUCUACCGGGCCGCUCCAGAGGCUCUCUAGGCCUCAUUGUCAGCCGACCUUCUACAGUGAUCAACUAUUCUCCAAACUCCUUUCGAACUUCGUCAAUAUCCGAGCUUCUUCGACAACGAGAUUUCUACAGUAAUCAGACUCCAUCCAAGUUUCUACGGCGGUCGACCACCUUCAGGAUUCCAACCAGACUCCUGUGAGAGCC